GCAGUUAACGCGAUAAGUCGACCGCCUGGGGAGUACGGCCGCAAGGUUAAAACUCAAAUGAAUUGACGGGGGCCCGCACAAGCGGUGGAGCAUGUGGUUUAAUUCGAUGCAACGCGAAGAACCUUACCUACCCUUGACAUCCUGCGAACCCUUCGGAGACGAAGGGGUGCCUUCGGGAGCGCAGAGACAGGUGCUGCAUGGCUGUCGUCAGCUCGUGUUGUGAAAUGUUGGGUUAAGUCCCGUAACGAGCGCAACCCUUGUCCCUAUUUGCCAGCGAUUCGGUCGGGAACUCUAGGGAGACUGCCGGUGACAAACCGGAGGAAGGUGGGGACGACGUCAAGUCAUCAUGGCCCUUACGGGUAGGGCUACACACGUGCUACAAUGGUCGGUACAAAGGGUUGCGAGUCCGCGAGGCCAAGCUAAUCCCGGAAAGCCGAUCUCAGUCCGGAUCGGAGUCUGCAACUCGACUCCGUGAAGUCGGAAUCGCUAGUAAUCGUGAAUCAGAAUGCCACGGUGAAUACGUUCCCGGGCCUUGUACACACCGCCCGUCACACCA
rnacentral:rRNA from 1 species